UACGUAGGGUGCGAGCGUUGUCCGGAAUUAUUGGGCGUAAAGAGCUUGUAGGCGGUUUGUCGCGUCUGCCGUGAAAAUUCGAGGCUCAACCUCGAACUUGCGGUGGGUACGGGCAGACUAGAGUGUGGUAGGGGAGACUGGAAUUCCUGGUGUAGCGGUGAAAUGCGCAGACAUCAGGAGGAACACCGAUGGCGAAGGCAGGUCUCUGGGCCACUACUGACGCUGAGAAGCGAAAGCAUGGGGAGCGAACAGG
rnacentral:rRNA from 1 species